CCCUUAGAUGUCCUGGGCCGCACGCGCGCUACACUGAGUGUCUGAGAUACGAGUCUGCCUGGUCCGGCAAGGUCUAGGUAAUCGCUAAAAGACACAUCAUGCUUGGGAUAGAUUAUUGCAAAUAUUAAUCUUGAACGAGGAAUUCCUAGUAAGCGCAAGUCAACAGCUUGCGUUGAUUACGUCCCUGCCCCUUGUACACACCGCCCGUCGCUACUACUGAUUGGAUGUUUAAGCGAGGUUCUCGAACUGCUAGCGACUUAGCUUCGGUGAGGUCGCAGUGUGGGAAGUGAACCUAGCUUUGGUGUCUAGAGGAAGUAAAAGUCGUAACA
rnacentral:rRNA from 1 species